UCCCAUGGUUUAGCGGUGAGGACAUUGGACUUUGAAUCCGGUAACCCGAGUUCAAAUCUCGGUGGGA
rnacentral:tRNA from 1 species